rnacentral:rRNA from 1 species
CGGCUGGCGGCGUGCCUAAUACAUGCAAGUCGAACGGUCUUUCCUAUGGAAGCUUGCUUCCACUGAGAAGAUAGUGGCGAACGGGUGAGUAACACGUGGGUAACCUGCCCAUAAGAGGGGGAUAACAUCCGGAAACGGGUGCUAAUACCGCAUAGUUUUCUUGAUCGCAUGAUUGAGAAAGGAAAGACGGCCUUUGUGCUGUCGCUUAUGGAUGGACCCGCGGCGUAUUAGUUAGUUGGUGAGGUAACGGCUCACCAAGACGAUGAUACGUAGCCGACCUGAGAGGGUGAUCGGCCACAUUGGGACUGAGACACGGCCCAAACUCCUACGGGAGGCAGCAGUAGGGAAUCUUCCGCAAUGGACGAAAGUCUGACGGAGCAACGCCGCGUGAGUGAAGAAAAGGUUUUCGGAUCGUAAAACUCUGUUGUCAGAGAAGAACAAGUUGGAGAGUAACUGCUCCAGCCUUGACGGUAUCUGACCAGAAAGCCACGGCUAACUACGUGCCAGCAGCGGC